ACUCUGUCUCCUGAUAGUGUAGCGGUAAGACUACACAUCUUUGGAGUCAGAGUUG
ensembl:miRNA